rnacentral:rRNA from 1 species
AGUGAACGCUGGCGGUAGGCCUAACACAUGCAAGUCGAACGGCAGCACAGUAAGAGCUUGCUCUUACGGGUGGCGAGUGGCGGACGGGUGAGGAAUACAUCGGAAUCUACUUUUUCGUGGGGGAUAACGUAGGGAAACUUAUGCUAAUACCGCAUACGACCUACGGGUGAAAGCAAGGGUUCUUCGGACCUUUCACGAUUGUAUGAGCCGAUGUCGGAUUAGCUAGUUGGCAGGGUAAAGGCCCACCAAGGCGACGAUACGUAGCUGGUCUGAGAGGAUGAGAAGACAACCUGGAACUGAGACACGGUCCAGAAUACUACGGGAGGAAGCAGUGGGGAAUGUUGCACAAGGGGCGCAAGCCUGAUGUAGCCAAGCCGCGUGAGUGACGAAGGUCUUCGGGUUGUAAAGACCUUUUAUUUGGGAAGAAAAGCAGCAGAUUAAAACCUGGCUGUUCUGACGGUACCCAAACAGUAAGCCCCGGCUAACUCCGUG